GCGACGAAAGGUUUCGACUGCUGCCAUACAGAUAUUAACCCUUAGCUCAUCUCCCUAUCUGGUCUUCAUACUCUCCGUUAGUAAAACUGAACACAAUACACUAUCGGAAACGAAAUUAAAUUUCAAACGGACAGGAAUGAGGUUCCUCGAGUCCAGCUGAGAGCUCUCCUGUGAGGAUUAUAAUGUCUACACUCCUCGCCUAUGAGGGAAAAAAUAUUAUACAGCACAUAUACGCUGAUAGAUGUAGAGGGUUCAUUCCAAAUUGGAGUCACUGCGUAUGCUUUCUGUGAGAGACCAUCUGCCGAAGCAAUCGAAAACAAAGGACCCCGGCACGAAAUGGGUCUAUGUUGUAGCCGGCCGUCGAAGGGUGUUGCUACGGCUCGUGUUCAUCAAGUUUAGUUCAAGAAUUGAUUCUUCCAGUUCGUUUCAAAUAGGCCAUAACCUAUUUUGUCGUAGAAUCGACAAAGAUACGGUACUAUGUUUUGAAAAACGUAGAUCAUCAAGUGACGUAUCUGCGUAGAUUUUGAUAUCAGUUGUGGCGGCUUGGACAAUCGGGGAAGGUCGAAAAAAGAUCGGCUGAAAGUUAAGUUAACGAAAUUGUGAUGACAAUGCGAAAAUGCUCGAGGUACGUCUAUAGCAUGUCCAGAGAGGAGUUAGCCGCAAAGUAUGCCCUCCUAUGCUUACGUACGUGUGCGCGUCAUCAGCCGUCCUUGGAGUAACUCAGGCUGAACUAUUGUAUAUACAAACAAUCUGAUAUGUACUUAUGUAUUCGAUGCCAGACGCGGUAUCGUAACACCUAAACUGCUUUCAAGGCGGGCCAAUCAACAACGAGUCUGCCUUGGUUGCUUCGCUUACUUGCAACAGGCGUAAAGCAAAGUCUGAUUAUUACAUUACUAGAUACUGACUUCUUUUUGCCUGCUUAGUGCAUAUUUCCAAUCGUCUUCGUCAAGGAGAGCACGUUCUUCGCAGUAACGUCAAAUGAUGUCCUUCUGCCAGGGCUUCUUAUAGAUCAACCAAUGGCAAGGUGAGACCGCCUUCGAAAGAGACAUGCGUUAGAGACGUUUCCAGUAAACAGCAUUUUGUUAUCAGUUAUGGCAAACCUUGUUGCUAUGGAUGCUGUAAAAGCUGUCGUAUCUCCAUAUACUGCUGUUAUGUUCUAGCCUUAAAAGUAAAGGCAUACCAAUCAUGAGACGUUUUACAUCUACAUCCAAACCAAUAAAAGGUCAAUCUGUGUAGGACAUUUAGGACACACUGCUACAAAUGCCAUUGUGUGGUGUGCAAUCGCCUGGAAAGGCCGGGUUCAAUCCCACAAGCAGAUUGAUGGGUGCAUAUUUUUAUGCUGUAUUGUUUUCUUUCUUGACAGCCAAAUAUUG